UGGCUCUGUUUUCCUGGGAGGUGGACUCAGCUCCCUUCACCUCCCCUCAACUGAGCCUAGAGAAUAGAGGCCAACUGUCCUGUGUGGGAGAGGCAUUUCAAAAAGGAGCCUUGCCCGGGCUGUGUCAGCCUCACAUUU
rnacentral:snoRNA from 1 species